AUGAAGGCUUCGAAACAAAACGAAAAGGAAACGGGGAUGUUGGAUUUUUUAUUUACAACCAGAGCAACACCCCUUCCUAAGGGUCAAAUUGUCUGGACUCCCUCAUCCAAGCCUUCCUUCCUGGGCCUCAGAAGCAGCUUUGUUGGAAAUGGUGGGCUGCCUGGUGAGUAUGGAUUCAGAGCGUUAUCUGACCUUUGGAAAGAGUUCUUGCCGUGGGAUAAGGACUGAAGGACUGCCUCCACCCCCGGUGGCAGGAUGAUUCAUGGACAUGCAAUUUCCUAGCUCUUUUUUCCUGAAUAGAGUCCAGGUCAUGCUGUCAAAGUGUCACUAGUUCACUCUUUAAAAGGGAAAAGGAAUCCUUGGGAUUUAGAAUAACAGAAUCAUACAAUGCGAAAUCUAGGAGAGUAACUUACCCCUCCCUCCUUCGCGGACACCUCAGUAUGAGAUGAGAGAUAUUUGGGCGUCAGCCAAGCCAACCAUCUGAGGAAGUUUCAAGACAGCAGUUACUUGAGGUCUUUCUAGAAGGGGAGGGAGGGUAAAGACUUGACAAGAAGCAGCAGCAGAGUGCUGGAAUGGCUGAGCAUCAGCCUUGGUGAUUAAUCAGCGGCAUUUAGAGCUCUCUCUCUCUCAGCUCAACAAGGCAGGGAACCUCCUGGCAAAAGGCUCUGUUCCAGGAUUUCUGACACUUGGUUUUCUGGCCUGUGUCAAGCAUUUCUUGAGAACUGUCUGGCCAGUCCCAUGCUGGCGCCUGCCACGUUGUUCUUAGCAGGAUCUUUGAAGUAGGAAAAGGGCUUCUUCGAGUUCUAACCAGUGCCUUUGACUACAUGGAGACUGCUAAUUCACCCUAGUUGGCUGCUUGCCCUGUUGCCCCUCUAUCCCACAGGCAGGACCUGAAAUGGAAGCCCAGAGUUUAGAGUUGACAUGAACCAUAGAGAUGUUUCAGCUCAACACCUGGCCCAUCAAGUGGUUAAUAAUUAAUUAAUCGAUGCCAAGUCCCUAGGGUAUGUCAGACUCUGUUCUGGGAAUACAGUGAUGACCAAAACCAGACAUGGCCUCUGCCUUCUUGAAGAUCACGUUAUGGUGGGCUGCCUGGUGAGUAU
rnacentral:lncRNA from 1 species